rnacentral:lncRNA from 1 species
CUUUAAUUGUCUUCAUAGAUAGAUCAAAACCUGUUUGGCUAGUGCACGUUAUUCAAGGAUUUGUCCCCUUUUUAGGGGCAAUAUUUAUGCCAAGAGGAUUCCUUUAGUACUAAAGAAAUGUUCAGAAGCUGAAUGGAAGGAAAUUAAUCAGUGAAAAGAAUCAACCCACAAACCCUUUCAACAAAAGAGCAGUAGCUGUUUAGGACACCUGCUGAUAUAAGAGAUCUUCCUACAGUAGAUAAUUAGUUCAUAGGUACAGUCCCAGCUGAGAGCACCUGGAACGUGCAGAACUGAAUCUGAGUUUUGUAGAGCCAAUAGCACUUAGUAAUAUGUAGUGAAAAUAUCGUUCUCUUUAGAUUGGCUGCUGAUAGCUGUAUGGCCGAAGUAGAUGUUGAAGAAAUUGCUUAAAGGUUUAAAAUGACUCCUCAUUGGAAUCACUUGGAAGAAAUGGACAACACUUGGAAAAUCUGCUUGAUAGCAAUCUGUGGAGGUUUCUUGAUAUGGUACAACUUUGAAGGCAGAACUACUGAUACAGUAACUCACAUGGAACUCUGAUAGAAGCCUCCUGGCCCUAAAUUCUCCAUUUCAUAUACCUGAAAGAGGUCAGACA